rnacentral:lncRNA from 1 species
UUUCAUAACUAUUUAACCGUAACUCCGAAUUUAAUGUUCUUUAUAUGUAAAUGGGGUGGAAAAAUGCCUAGUUUAACAUGGUGCACUUUGUUUUAUUGUUUAACAACUUUAAAAUAUGUUUUAGGGCAGAACAGUAGCAAAUUCAUAAAUUGCAUAUGAGGUUUUUCCGAAAAUAUUGUUUGUUGUUCCGGCCUCAUUUAAACUUGCCUAAAUAUUUAGUUUACUUUUGUUACACCCCUUGACAUGUUUAACAACAUUUAACAUUGUUGUGUACCUAAACGAGAGCGAACUAAAUAACUCGGAUGUGGUGUUUCGUCAAUAUGCAACUCGUUGCAUAUUGAGCUCCACUUAACUUGUAGUAUUGUGUGUUGCACUUUGCCAUGCCAUGCCCCAUUAAACCGGACAUGCAUCAUAAUUGAUUGUGCAUCAUGCCAUAUUUAUGCUUGUGUGUUUAACAUGUUGUUUGUUUCUUUCCGGUGUUGCUUCUUAGUCCCGGUAAUGUUGCGAUUGUGAGGAUUCAUUCGACUACGUCCAUUUGUCUUCUUCAUGGACUCGUUCUUCUUCCUAGCGGGAUUUCAGGCAAGAUGACCGCUACCCUGGAUCUCACUACUAUCAUUGAUAUGCUAGUUGCUUCGUUCUAUCGCUAUGUUGCGCUACCUAUCAUUUUGUUCUAUCAAGCCUCCCAAAUUGCCAUGAACCUCUAACCUUUGACACCAUUCCUAGCAAACCGUUGCUUGGCUAUGUUACCGCUUUGCUCAGCCCUCUUAUAGCGUUGCUAGUUGCAGGUGAAGUUGAAGAUUGCUCCAUGGUGGAUAGGGUUAUGUUGGGAUAUUACAAUAUCUCUUAUAUUAUUAAUGCAUCUAUAUAUUUGGUAAAGGGUGGAAGGCUCGGCCUUAUGCCUGGUGUUUUGUUCCACUCUUGCCGCCCUAGUUUCUGUCAUACCGGUGUUAUGUUCCCGGAUUUUGCGUUCCUAACGCGGUCGGGUGAUUUAUGGGACCCCCUUGACAGUUCGCUUUGAUAAAACUUGUCCAGCAAGGCCCAACCUUGGUUUUACCAUUUGCCUCACCACCACCUAUACCCUUCCCUUGGGUCGGCCAACCCGAGGGUCAUCUUUAUUUUAGCCCCCCCGGGCCAGUGCUUGUCUAAGUGCUGGUCCGAACUGAGUAGACCGCGGGGCCCCCUCGGGGCAACUCGAGGUCUGGUUUUACUCGUAGGAUGUCUCAUCUGGUGUUACCCUGAGAACGAGAUAUGUGCAGCUCCUAUCGGGAUUGUCGGCGCAUCGGGCGGCUUUGCUGGUCUUGUUUUACCAUUGUCGAAAUGUCUUGUAAACCGGGAUUCCAAGACUGAUCGGGUCUUCCUGGGAGAAGGUCUAUUCCUUCGUUGAUCACGAGAGCUUGUCAUGGGCUAAGUUGGGACACCCCUGCAGGGUAUAAACUUUCGAGAGCCGUGCCCGCGGUUAUGUUGCAGAUGGGAAUUUGUUAAUGUCCGGUUGUAGAUAACUUGACACCAGAUCCGAAUUAAAAUGCAUCAACCGCGUGUGUAGCCGUGAUGGUCUCUUCUCGGUGGAGUCCGGGAAGUGAACACGGUUUCUGGGUUAUGUUUGACGUAAGUAGGUGUUCAGGAUCACCUCUUGAUCAUUGCUAGCUUCACGACUGUUCCUUUGUUUCUCUUCUCGCUCUCAUUUGCGUAUGUUAGCCACCAUAUAUGCUUAGCCGCUGCUGCAACCUCACCACUUUACCCCUUCCUUACCCAUUAAGCUUUGCUAGUCUUGAUACCCAUGGUAAUGGGAUUGCUGAGUCCUCGUGGCUCAUAGUUACUUCCAAAACCAGUUUGCAGGUACCAAUGUUACCAAGCAGGUGACGCCACCAAGCUCAAGGAGGAGCUCGAUGAAGAUCUUGCCCUUUGUGUUGUUUCGUUCUAGUUGAUCAGUAGUGGAGCCCAGUUGGGGUCGAUCGGGGACCUUUGUCACAUUUGGGGUUCUUCUUUUAUUUUGGUUCCGUAGUCGGACCUUGAUUGUAUCUGUAUGAUGUAAUGCUUUACUCAUGUAUUGUGUGAAGUGGCGAUUGUAAGCCAACUAUGUAUCUCUUUCCCUUAUGUAUUACAUGGGUUGUGUGAAGAUUACCUCACUUGCGACAUUGCUUUCAAUGCGGUUAUGCCUCUAAGUCGUGCUUCGACACGUGGGAGAUAUAGCCGCAUCGAGGGCGUUACAAGUUGGUAAUCAGAGCCUUCCCCGACCUUAGGAGCCCCACUGCUUGAUCGUUUUUAGCGGCCAAGUUGUGUCUAGAAAAAUGUUUUGAGUCAUUUAGGAUUAUAUAUAUCGGAGAGUUAGGAAUUCUUUUUACUCCCCAGUCUCUUCAUCGCUCUGGUAAGGCAUCCUGACGUAGAGUUUUGACUCUUCUCUUCUCAAAUUUCACUAAAUUUUUUUUAGGAUCACGCGGGUAUCUUGGAAUCAUUCCGAUGGUUUUAUGAUGAGAACAUUGUCUUGGUGCCUUCUGUCAGGGGUUUAGUGGAAGUGUCCUGGGGAGUUGAGCUCUGAGGUGUUGUCGUCAUAAUUUUAUCGUUGCAGUUCUGGAAUACCUGAGUUUAGUACGCCGACAUCGAAAAUCUCUUUUAUGCAGUUGUUGUUGAGAUAACCCCGAUAACCCAGUACUGAGGUGAGUACGGGAGUAUUGCCAUAACUUGUAUAACGGAUGCUUUUCGAAGGUUGAGGUACACGAUUUCCGAAGGUUUCUUGGUUAUGUUUUGACGGAUGGAUACAGCUUGGAUGUAGGUAUUGUUAGUUUGGGUGAGAUAUAUUGCUUCCCGUGUAUCCCCAACACCAGAUUGCAUAACCAGAAAGUUUCGGGAGUUUAUAGGUGGGAAUUCAAGUAGCUCCUAGAACAUCUUUCCGACAGAUGCAUGAUAUGGGAUUGGGUAAAUCUCUAUCAUAUGUUUGUUCCGGCUUAUUCUGCAAGCCAGUCCUUUGUUUUUGUUUUGAGUUGUGGUAUUCGAGUUGCUUCAAUGUCAAGUGUUGAUUCCAUACCUUUCCGAAAUGGUGUUCUCAUACUCCGAUGUGAAUACCAAUCCUUCUCGACAAUCGAGAUUGUCAUGUCAAUCCUUUUCAACCGGCGUGUUUCUCUUCAAGUGGAUCAGAUCACUUCAACAUCAGCAAGACCAAUUAUCAUUUCUUCUCAACGGUGUUUGUUUCAUCCGUCUCCAAGUUGCCUUUGUUUUUCCCGCCCACCCUCCCUUUUUCCUCAAGGACUAAGAUUUCUUUACCAAGUAUCCUUUUAUUUUUGUGAAGUUUCUCCAUUCUUUUCCGUCAAUGUUCUUACCCGGUGGUUCUCAAGAAGAUGUUCUACUAGUUCGUCAUUCCUCAUUCCUUUCUCUUCUCCGGUGGAUUCAAGUCAAGUUUUGUUGAUCAUACCUUUUUCCUCAUUUCAAUGUCUUCUCAUACCGGUGCACCUCAUUAUCAUUCUACUUCUCGCUAUUUGUUAUUCCGGAGUGCUCAAGAUAUCUCAAAGAUUCGUGUUUCCACUCUGCAUUCGUUCAAGCUCUUUCGAGAUUGGUAUCUCAUUCAAGUCAUUUAAUUCAACCGGUGCAACAUCUCUUUUAAAUCUUUGCAACGGUGUUCUUUUGAGUGGGCCCUAACCCACAGGUCUUUUCCCAGGAUCUUACCUGACUCUUCUAUUUUCCCAGAGCUAUCCUAAAUUCUUCUCCAAGUUUGACGUAAGAAUGAGUUAUCAUCAGUCAAAUGCUUUUCUCCAAGAUCUUUCAAAUUCUUUUCAUAGUUGGCUCAACCUCUUCGCUUUUGAUUCUUCCGGUGUGCCUCAAUAAUUCUUGGUGGUGUUUUUCAUUGUCAUUCUCAACAUUUGAAGACCGUAGACGGAUUUCUCUUAAAUCUUGGUCCAUUCUCUUGAAGGUUCAUGGCUCUAGCUUCAUGCUAUCAUCAUAAUUGUUUUGAUUGUGACUAUUCUUUUCACCCAUCCGGAGCAUUUCAUGAGUUGUUUCCAUUUCUUUCCUCCGAAGGCCAUCAUGUCAUAAUUCUUCAUUCUCAGCGUGUAGCUAUCGUUCUCCAAAUCUUACCGGUGAUUUGUUUAAAUAUCCUCUAAUCAGUUCAUGUUCUCUUCGUUCUCAUGUAUCUAAAUCCCCUCAAAUAUCUUCAUUUGUUUUCCAAUUCUUCCCGGUGAAUUGUGCCUUUGCUACAUUCAUUUUCAAUUCUUACGGUGGUUCGUUAAAGAUUUCACUUCCUUCAUUAUCUUAUCAAUUCAUUCGUUGUUUUCAAAUCCUACUGGUGGAUCGUUGAAGACUUUUCUCAAGUUUGCUCUAUAUCUUCUUAAUCCUUUCUAGAAGAAUAAGUAGUAUGCCAACUCCAUUGCUUAUCAUCAAUUUAAUUUGAUGAAGGAUAAACAUACAAUAAAUCUUAUUCUUAUUUCCUCGAGGUGAUUCAAUUCUUUUUUUCCGGAGAUUAUUCAUCAUGAAUAAAUUCUUGAUUACAAGUGAUUCAUCUUUCUUUCCGGAGUUUGUUCAUCAUAUCACAUUCUCGGUUUCAUGUGUUUCAUGUUUUCUUUUCCGGAGUUCCAAGUUUUCCGCAUUAUCUCGUCACGAAGCUCCAUCUAAAUCAUUGCAACGCUUCACCUUGUGUUUUCAACUUCUCUUUCUUUUCAUCAUCCUUCUAUUACCGGAGUUCUUCAUGGAGGCUCUAAAUGGUGGGUCGUCAAGGAUUCUUUUCAUUCUUCAAUUGUUCUUCAAGAUUUCGCUCGAAGUUAUGAUCCGCCAAGCUAUACUCAAAAGUAAACAGGGUGCCCAACACUUGUUUUGUUUUGAGAAGCUCAAGUAUUCUCCGUCUUGCAUUCCAAAGUGCAAUUCCUUCUAUCUUAUCUUUUGAGAUAGUGUUAUGUCACUCUUGACAAUUUCCUUCAUGUUUCAUGAUUCAUAUUGUUGUCAAGAAUGAGGUAUUUUAAAUCCAGCAGUCUCUUCACUGGAUUUAUAUUGGGUUAUAUUUCACCUAAAGCCUUCCCCAAGGAAUGUUGCUAUUUUGUGGUGAUUACGCAUGACCCAAGCUUACUCUUUAUCCUCUUGGUGGAAGAAGUUUUCAUCUCUUCGUUGAUCUCAAGCAAGCAAUUGUUUUCGUUAGUGGCAGAAUUUCACCUCAAGUGUUGAGAUGUUUUCCAUAAGCCACAACAAGUUUGUGCUUCUCGUUGUUGAUUUUCCAACAACUCCGUUCGAUUCUUCUUUGCAAGGAUGCUUUCCAGGUUCACUUGUGGAAAAAGUUGUCAUUUUCUUCUCCGUCCCUUUAUCCCAAUGAUCUAACUUCUAUUCUUUCGUUACGGAGACAUUGUGAUGUUGUGCUCUUCACUCAUCACCUCGUUUUUUUUGAGGAUCGUGUUCUUUUCUUGUUUAUCCAUUUAACCGGAGUGUUGUAUCAUCUCUUCAAUAUCUCUUCAUCUCAUCAAGCUUUUCUACCGGAGUGCUGUCCAAAUUCUGUCAUUCUUGUUCCUUGGCUAUCUCACUAUACCGAGGUGGUCAUAUUCUUUUCGUUCGUGAAGCUCUUUUUUCCAUGUCUUUCAACCUUCAAGUUCUCGUAAUACUCCUUGUUCCUCUUUUCUAACGAAUUGUUUGCAAUCUCGUUCAUCUCUGUUGUACUCUUUCUUUUAAAUUGCUCAACCUCUCAAGGUUUGUGGUUUCACUAGUUCGUCAAAGAAGCAACUUAGUUUUACCUCUUCUCUUCCUCUUUCUUUUCCCUCCGGUGCCAUCCUAGAUCUCGGGACGAGAUCCUCUCGUAGUGGUGGAGUGUUGUAACGCCCCGGAUGUAACUUUCCAUAUUCGUAACUCCAACUCCUGCCUUUUCCGGAGAUGCGAUAUAUUAUUUUCUCCGUGGUUGGGUUUUUGUCUUUCGUUUUGCAUUUUGUUCAUGUCAUGCAUUUCAUCAUCGCAUCAUUCGCAUUGCAUCGGCAUUGUUUUCAUAAAACUUGCAUUCGCUCGUAGUUGUUGCUUCUUCCUUGUUCCUGUUGACCCCUCUCAGAUCAACCGGACCGCUCUCUUCUCUCUCUUUUCUGAGCCCAUCAAAACCCUUUGUCUCCAUGGCGUUUCGUCAAACCCCUCUUGCGUGCGUCCGAAAACUCCCCUGAACCCGACCCGGGCAGUCAUUACCAUUGGGUCCGGAUCAUCCCCUAACGUCUACAAAACAUCUCUGUUUUGUUAUUUGGGCUCCCUAACUAUUUUAUUCGCGACCGUCCGAUUUUAAUCGAAGGGACCAAAUGACCCUAAGCCUACCCACUCGCUAUAUAUAGCAGUCUAACCCUAGAUCCUAGGGGCUUGUCCCAUCCAUUCCCCUCCUUGCGCCGCCACUAACUCCACCUGGUCUCCCCCACCUCGGGAUCUUGCCCGAUCCAAAAUUCCUCAUCGGGAUCCCCUGCCCGAUCCACCCAACCAGCUCGCAGCCGCCUCCCCUUCCCUGCUCCCGUGCGUGUCCAGCACCACAGGAGAGGUGCUCCUCGAGCCCUUGAUCUAGCGCGCAGAUGCCCGAGCGCUCCUCCUCGUGACCCACCGCCUCGGCGAACCGUCACGGUCGGCGACCACUUCCAUCAGGCCGGACCCCGCUCCCCUCGUUGCUUCUCCUUCUCCCGUUCCCUCCGUUUUCCCUCUCUCACUUGCUCUCUGUCAUCUCCAGGAAACUGCAGGAGGCAAGCACCAUGCAAUGGCCUCCCCUGCUCGACGACCGCGUCGCUGUCGUCGACUUCGCGCCCAUCCCCGCCUGAUUCUGCAGCACCGCCGCCCGUCUUCUUCGUUCACGGCAAGCUUUGCCGCUGUCCUGCUCGAGCUGCCAAGUCCCUGUUGCCUCGCCGCUGUACCCCGUCCUCGACCUCAUUCAGCAGCCCCCGCCGCAAGCCGCGACCUCCACAGCCUCCUCCCGAAUCUGCUCCGCCUCGCCUCUGCCGGAUCGGAGCAGCACCGGACCAGCAGGACCGUGCCCUUCCUCUCCAGCCUCCCCUCUGUUUUCUUCUAGAUCACCGGCAACGCUCUCUCUCAGAAUCUCUCUUCUCUCUCGCUUCUCUCCACAGGGAACCGAAGCCAUGGCCGCCGGCCAUCCAUGGUCGCCGCCGCAAGGAUUUGCUUGCCUCCGCUGCCUCCGCGCCAUCCCUGUCGCCGGAGGAUGCAGCCCCGCCGCUUCCAAGUCCUAUGCUUCGCCCGUGGUCGAGUGAGACGACCAUAAACGCAGCCGCAUUGACCGCCCGCUCGCCAGCGCCUCUCUGCCUCGCUGGCAAGGCCCAGCCUGCUCCAGCUCCUCAUCCGGCCUGCCAGGCCUCUCCACCAGCUAGGCCGAGGCCCAUGGUGAGACCCUCCCCCAGCGCCCAUGUCCUGUUUCGGCCUGUGCUCUAAUUCAGCCCGCAUGUGUUUUUUUUACUGCUGCGAAUUUAAUAUUAUCCAUUGUAUUACUGAUUUACAGAAAACCCCUCCAUGUUCAUGCAUAUAAUAACUCAUUAUCCGUGCGUCAUAUGUAAAUAAUUUAUAUAUGUGAUAUGCUUAGAAAAUUGUGUAGAUUAACAAUAUGCCACUUUCAUCCCAUGUUAAUAUGUUUAACAUGUUGUUUACAUUAAUUUUCUCCUAUGCCAUGCUAAAAUGAUUUAUUUCAUAACUGUUUAACCGUAACUCCGAAUUUAAUGUUCUUUAUAUGUAAAUGGGGUGGAAAAUGCCUAGUUUAACAUGGUGCACUUUGUUUUAUUGUUUAACAACUUUAAAAUAUGUUUUAGGGCAGAACAGUAGCAAAUUCAUAAAUUGCAUAUGAGGUUUUUCCGGAAAUGUUGUUUGUUGUUCCGGCCUCAUUUAAACUUGCCUAAAUAUUUAGUUUACUUUUGUUACACCCCUUUACAUGUUUAACAACAUUUAACAUUGCUGUGUACCUAAACGAGAGCGAACUAAAUAACUCGGAUGUGGUGUUUCGUCAAUAUGCAACUCGUUGCAUAUUGAGCUCCACUUAACUUGUAGUAUUGUGUGUUGCACUUUGCCAUGCCAUGCCUCAUUAAACCGGACAUGCAUCAUACUUGAUUGUGCAUCAUGCCAUAUUUAUGCUUGUGUGUUUACCAUGUUGUUUGUUUCUUUCCGGUGUUGCUUCUUAGUCCCGGUAAUGUUGCGAUUGUGAGGAUUCGUUCGACUACGUCCGUUUGUCUUCUUCAUGGACUCGUUCUUCUUCCUAGCGGGAUUUCAGGCAAGAUGACCGCUACCCUGGAUCUCACUACUAUCAUUGCUAUGCUAGUUGCUUCGUUCUAUCGCUAUGUUGCGCUACCUAU